rnacentral:rRNA from 1 species
UACGUAGGGUGCGAGCGUUGUCCGGAAUUAUUGGGCGUAAAGAGCUUGUAGGCGGUUUGUCGCGUCUGCCGUGAAAGCCCAGGGCUUAACCCUGGGUCUGCGGUGGGUACGGGCAGACUAGAGUGUGGUAGGGGAGACUGGAAUUCCUGGUGUAGCGGUGAAAUGCGCAGAUAUCAGGAGGAACACCGAUGGCGAAGGCAGGUCUCUGGGCAUUAACUGACGCUGAGGAGCGAAAGCAUGGGGAGCGAACAGG